rnacentral:rRNA from 1 species
GACUAACUACGAUAAGCUUUGGUGAGCGGUAAGUACGCUAUGACCCAAAGAUUUCCGAAUGGGGAAACCCAACUCGUAAGAGUUGUCUGUAUCUGAAUACAUAGGAUAUUUGACGGAAUACGCUGUGAACUGAAACAUCUCAUUAGCAGCAGGAGCAGAAAGAAAAAUCGAUUCCCUAAGUAGCGGCGAGCGAACGGGGAAGAGCCCAAACCAACGUGCUUGCAUGUUGGGGUUGUAGGACUGAUAUAUAAGAGUUACAAAAGUGUUUUAUAGCAGAACAAGUUGGGAAACUUGGCUAUAGAGGGUGAUAGCCCCGUAAGCGAAAUGAAGCACACUCUUUUCAGGAUCCUGAGUACGGCCGGACACGUGAAAUCCGGUCGGAAUCUGCGGGGACCAUCCCGUAAGGCUAAAUACUCCCUAGUGACCGAUAGUGAACCAGUACCGUGAGGGAAAGGUGAAAAGCACCCCGGAAGGGGAGUGAAAUAGUUCCUGAAACCACGACGCCUACAAGAAGUCAGAGCCCGUUAAUGGGUGAUGGCGUGCCUUUUGUAGAAUGAACCGGCGAGUUACGGUAUCGUGCGAGGUUAAGGUGGAAAGACCGGAGCCGCAGCGAAAGCGAGUGUGAAUAGCGCGAAUAGUACGAUGCUGUAGACCCGAAACCAAGUGACCUACCCAUGGUCAGGAUGACGGUGAGGUAAAACUUACUGGAGGUCCGAACCGGUGCAUGUUAAACAAUGCUCGGAUGAACUGUGGGUAGCGGUGAAAUUCCAAACGAACUUGGAGAUAGCUGGUUCUCUCCUAAAUAGAUGUUAAGUGGAAAACGAUGUGAUAGUGCAUAGACAACUAGGAUGUUGGCUUAGAAGCAGCCACCAUUUAAAGAGUGCGUAAUAGCUCACUAGUCGAGUGCCAUUGCGCGGAAAAUGUACCGGGGCUAAACAUAUUACCGAAACUGCGGGUGCACGUAAGUGCGCGAUAGGAGAGCGUUGUAAGGGCGACGAAGGUAGAUCGUAAGGACUGCUGGAGCGCUUACAAGUGAGAAUGCCGGUAUGAGUAGCGAAAGACAGGUGAGAAUCCUGUCCACCGAAUGACUAAGGUUUCCGGGGGAAGGCUCGUCCACCCAGGGUUAUGCGGGACCUAAGGCGAGGCUGAGAAGCGUAGUCGAUGGAUAACAGGUUGAGAUUCCUGUACCAGUUGUAAUGCGUUAUUACCGAUGGAGGGACGCAGGAGGCUACCAGAUGCGCACUGAUGGAUAUGUGCGUGCAAGCAGUAAGUCUUGAAAAGAGUGAAAUGCUUUUUUCUAUAAGGACAAGCUGUGAUGCGGAUCGAAAUAAAGUAGAGAAGUCUGAGACGUCACACUGCCGAGAAAAGCUUCUAGGAAGUAUUACACUGCCCGUACCGCAAACCGACACAGGUAGUCGAGUGGAGAACACUAAGGUGAGCGAGAGAACCCUCGUUAAGGAACUCGGCAAAAUGACCCCGUAACUUCGGGAGAAGGGGUGCUCAUGGUAAAACAUGAGCCGCAGUGAAUAGGCCCAGGCGACUGUUUAUCAAAAACACAGGUUUCUGCAAAAUCGUAAGAUGAAGUAUAGGGGCUGACGCCUGCCCGGUGCUGGAAGGUUAAAAGGAGUGCUUAGUUUCGGCGAAGGUACGAAUUGAAGCCCCAGUAAACGGCGGCCGUAACUAUAACGGUCCUAAGGUAGCGAAAUUCCUUGUCGGGUAAGUUCCGACCCGCACGAAAGGCGUAACGAUCUGGGCACUGUCUCAACGAGGGACUCGGUGAAAUUUAAAUACCCGUGAAGAUGCGGGUUACCCGCGACAGGACGGAAAGACCCCAUGGAGCUUUACUGUAGCUUGAUAUUGAAUGUUUGUGCUGCUUGUACAGAAUAGGUAGGAGACGUAGAAGAUUGGACGCUAGUCUAGUCGGAGUCGCACGGUGGGAUACUACCCUCGUUGUAUGAACAUUCUAACACUGGUCACUCAACGUGAUCGUGGACAGUGUCUGGCGGGCAGUUUGACUGGGGCGGUCGCCUCCUAAAAGGUAACGGAGGCG